rnacentral:miRNA from 1 species
UUUGUAGGCUGAAAAGUUG